UUUUUGUAAUAAUUUAAAGUCUAAUCUGCCCACUGAUAUUAUUAAAGGGCUGCAGUAUUUUGACUGUACAAAGGUAGCAUAAUCAUUUGUCUCUUAAUUGGUGACUUGUAUGAAAGAUUGAAUGAAAUAUGAACUGUCUCAAUUUAAUUUAUAAAAUUUAAUUUUUUAGUCAAAAAGCUAAAAUAAAUUUAAAAGACGAGAAGACCCUAUAGAGUUUUAUAAUUAUAUUAAUUAUAAUAAAAUAUAAAUUUUUUAAUUAAAAUUAAUAUAAUUAUUUUGUUGGGGUGACAAAAAAAUUAAAUUAACUUUUUUUAAAAAAUUUACAUUAAUUUAUGAUUUUAUGAUCCAUUUUUAGUGAUUAAAAGAAAAAAUUACCUUAGGGAUAACAGCGUAAUUUUUUUUUUUAGAUCAAAUAAAAAAAAAAGUUUGCGACCUCGAUGUUGGAUUAAGAUAAAAUUUAAAUGCAAAAGUUUAAAAUUUUUGAUCUGUUCGAUCAUUAAAAUCUUACAUG
rnacentral:rRNA from 1 species